UGUUGUUGAAAUUGCUUAACAACCUUAUCAUCCACAUUCUUUCAAUUUCUCCUUAGCUUUGGGAAACCCAACACCUACCACAGUUGACCACAGUGCUGGUCCAGAGAAGUUCCUCAUCCCUUUGAGCUUGUUGAUCCUUCUUGCGAUAGCAACUUUGAUCACCUGGUUCCUGUUAAAAAGACAUAAGAACACCACAGCAGAAUCUUCAGCAACAACGACUGCAGAGGAAGUAACAUACAGCACUGUAGCCAUGAGGAAUAAACCCUCAAGCCAGGUAAGGGACUGUGUGAAAAUGACUGGCCUAAACCUUUUUGUUACAUUAUUAACAGAUCCUUUAAAGAUAUAUUAAAAUUGUAUUUUGACCUCUGAUUUUGACCUGUUAUACUAGAUUUCUAGUGUGCAGUUCCAAACAUUUGAAACGACAGUCAACUCCUAUGAUAAUGGAUAUUCUUCUUUUAUUUUGGUUGCCUCAAAAUAUCCUCUAUUUAAGUAACAUCUGGUUUAUUCCUUCGUCAGGCUCAAGAGGAAAUAACAAACAGUUAUUUCAAGCAUGGGUCAGAUCCAGGGGGGGAUGUGAUAUACAGCUCUGUGGUAAUAUUGAACCAAACAAAAGUCACAUUUAAAGAAGUUUUCUUACAUUAUUAGGGGUAUUAACAAUGUUAGCCGAUGUCGCAAAAACCUGACAUGGUUUUCUUUUUUUUUCUUUUAACAGGUUGAAGGAAAAGUUUUGCAGGCAAAGGGGCUUUGAGAGAAAUGCUGAUGGAGUGUCCCUUUAAGGAUUUUUUUUUAUUUUUAUAGUUAUACACUUAUUCAGUUUUCCUAUUUUUCAAGAACAUUUUCAAGAAUCACACAUUUUUGAGCCCAAAAAACAAUGUACCCAACUUCAAAUUGAAGCCUGGAGUCGUUAGCUCACCCACAGAUUCACUCUAUACGGUAUAAUUUUAGAGCCAAGGAAAAUCUAUUACUAUUCAGAUAUUUGUAGACUGUAUCUUAACAGUUCAUAUUUCCGCUUAACAACUGAGCGAACUGCAUUUGCUGUGACUGAAAAUGUGGCUGACUUCCCUGUAAGUGGGAAACAUUAUGAUGGUAUUUUAGAGGUGUUGAAGGCUGAUGCUGUGGAAGCUUUAUUAUUUCUGUUGCUGCUAAAUAACACAUUUCAGUGAAUGCUCUUGGAGAUCUGGUAUUUUAUUCUAAAAGUAUGUAUCCACUGGACCUCAUCCCAAAGUCUAAAGUAAAUUUUAAUCUGCUGGAGUUCUGUCAUUAGAGGUAUUUAUAAGCAUCAUCCAACAUGCUACAAACAUCUUACAGAUGGAAAAGGAAAGGUUUUUCAGGAAGUAGAAAAUCAGCACAUCGAUAGCAUGCUUCAUGCUCACCAACAUAGCUGUUCAUAUGCGCUUUUCAUUCAUUCUCAUAUAGCUCAGUUAUCUAUAAUAUGUAACAAUUUAAGGAAAUUCUUACAGUGGACCUAUAAUUAAUACGCUGUAAGUGGUGUCAUGAUCACAUUUUGAGAAAAGUAAGGGUCAUAUAGGCAAGAAGGGUGCAGAAGAGCAGCAUUGUGAGGGGCUUUGUGAGGGGCUUUAUUGUUCAAAUGUUAAAGUAAUUUAAUAAAGCAUUAUGAAAUUGUUGGACAAAAUAUCCAUACAUUUAAAA